CAGGCUGUACAUUGAAGCCAAUGUGACAUAAAACGAACUGAGUGACGUGAAGAGGAGAACGACUGUGUCAAUUACACGGAAAACUCAACUGCAUUCAAAAUUACAGAGAGAAACAUCUUUGAAGCCACAAGGGGAAGAAAGACAAUAUGUUUGUUUGAAGAUGCAACAUCUGGAAGACCAUAAUAAAAAAGGGUCUUGGGGAUUAAAGCUGCAGAAUCUGCUCUGAGGCUAGCUGCCCUUCAAGGUUCUAAAGAAACUUACCAGAGAAUGAAAAUCAUAUCAGGAGCAAUUAGACAAAAGGUCAGCAUAAAUACCGCCUGUAUCCACAGCAUUAUCAUCACCCAAGUGUCUCUUACUUACAGUCUGUUGUGACAAAGUAAA